AAAAAAACAAACACUGAGUUUCCGUAUUCAACGUUUGACCGUCCGUCUUAUUUAAAAAAAUUAUAAAAAAAUAAAAAGACAAGUCACGCAUAAAGUAUUAAUUAUAUUUUAUCAUCUAACAACAAUGGAAAUACUAAUUAUAAAAAAAAAUUAUAUAAGACGGACAGUCAAACAUUGAAUACGGAAACUCAGGAUUUAUUUUAUU
rfam:Oryza sativa Japonica Group DNA, chromosome 6, cultivar: Nipponbare, complete sequence.